AUCCGAUAAUGAGGACACUUACGAAGUAAUUCCUUGAAUCUUUUGCAAGCCUCGUACAAGGACUCAUCAUCCAAUUGUUGAAAAGUUGUUAUCUCAUUUUACAACUU
rfam:Gossypium raimondii Chr10_contig_831, whole genome shotgun sequence.